CCAGCUUUAUGACCAGGAAUGUCUUUUCUUAUGAACCUGGGACUCAUCCUUUUGGAAUAUCGUUUACAAGGAAGAUGGCUGCCCUCUCUCCCAGCUUCUGUGAAAAGCCGAGAAAGAAGGAAACAGUUCUGUGAAUAUUUCCGUAACUCUAUGGAGCUCCUGGAACUUCUGCCACCCUCUUGCUACCAACCUGUAGAGGAAACCAUCACGAACUUCAACAGAGAAACUGAGAACCUCAGCCCCUGUUGUCGUGGUUCAGCCACUGAGUCAACACACUCGGGGACCCACUUGAUAACUCAAUCAACUUGGAUAUUUCUCACCAUUGACUUAAGAAAGCAGAGCAGACACUGUGCUGGGGACUUUGAGCAAUGCAGAGGAAUGGAGAAUGCCCCCCAAGAACUUAGAAGAGAUGGACAUUUGCAUUAUUCUCUGUAAUGACUGCACAGUGUGGUUGUGUUUGCUCCAGGUUAUCGGCAUUGUGCCUGCACUGAAUAAAAACAAGCAGCUCCAACUUCUCAGGGCUGCUCUCUGGCCACUAGAGCCAGGCAGUCACCUAGCUGCUGUUAUGCUGCAUACCUGUCUCUGAGUACUCGCUUCAUCCAUCGGCCAGGGUCUGUGGGACAGACCAGGCAGGUGGUGCCCCAUGUGAGGAACGCUGCAAUGGAUUGCAAGGGAACCCCUGAAAACAAAUGUGAAGUGACUGAGCAGUGUUAACCUUAGAAGACUAGAACCUAAUGAGUUAUGGCAAACAGAUGUUAUGCACGUCCCUGAAUUUGGAAAACUAAGGUCCUCUUUGGAUUCCAGCACGAGGCAUCAAACCAUACCAUGGCAUGGCUAGGACCCAACCCGGUACCAAAAUGAAGAAAAUGACCCUACAGGACCCACAAUCCCGGAUGAUGUGGCUUCCUUGGAUGACACAGGCCCUGGACAUUACCUGGGGGAUGCUGAAGAAGACAACUCAGGAGGCCAAGCAAAUCCUGCUCCAGGCACAGACACCAUUCACUCCAGGAAGCUGCCAUUCAUUCGACAUAAGUAGGUGCUUCAUCUGAUAAGCGCUGCUUGUGUAAUUUAUCAAUGACAGAGAAGGCAGAUAGCAGCAUGCAUACUUGGGGCUGCAUUUGAAGGAGAGCAACAUCCCUUUGUUUUCACAGAGGAGAACAAGCAUGAGUUGAGAUUGUGGUGCUUCUUGAAGUCUCAUCCAGAUCAGAAACCUGCUGCUCUGUCCACAUUCCAUCCACCAAAGCAACCCAUAUGGCCAUGUCCAGCAUCAGAUGGGGAAAGGCAGUUCUCCUCUAGCACGAGGAGCUGCAAAGCCACAUGGCAAAGGAUGAGUGUGUAAAAAAUAAAUGCAGGAGGGCAGGAGGCA
rnacentral:lncRNA from 1 species